rnacentral:lncRNA from 1 species
UCCUGUGGGAAUCCAGGAACCCACAUGUUCCAGGUGGCAGAGUUAUAGUAUGGACUGUCCCAACACCUGCCUUUUUCGGGAAUCACACAUAUUGUUAGUGUUGAGAUAACACAUUUUGAACCUUUAUUUUUAUUUUCUGUGUGCUUUUAUUGCCCAGAAAGUGUGUGUGUGCGUGUCUGUCUGUCUGUCUACGGUGAGGGGAGGUGGGAAGAGGGAGAGGGCAGGGAAGGAGAAGGAAGCAAAGCAAAGCUUUGAAGUUAGUGCAAAACUAAUAUUUUGGGUAAAAAGCUUUUCCUUUGCCAGAGCAAAUAUUUGAUUGCUUCAAUUCUUCUAAAAUAGUCUAUUUUCUUCUUGUUUCAGCAUCUAGUAAAUUUUGGGCAGUCCUGUUUAGCAAAAGAGAAUGAAUCCAAUCAGCAUGUCUCAGAAGGUACAGCAAUAGGGUUGGAGGAAAAAUAAUGUAUGAGAAAAGUGAACUGCAGUGUGCUUUUAACUCAUUUAUAACAGUUAAUCAAACUAAAUAUCUGACUGGCAAAUUAACCACUUUGAAGAUAUUUUGUCACGAGAGUGAUGGUGGCGAAAGGUACAGGUGAUACCUUGUAUGUGCCAAUCAGCCAUUUAUCUUACUGGCCAGCCAGAAAAUGGCUUUCAUUAGUUACAUAGCUUUAUGGAACUAAACUCAUUUCUUUGAGGUGUGAUGGCACAAUAAAGAGAAUAUUACCAUGUGACUGAGGCCAAUCUUCUGUUUUGCCCAAUAGGCCACUUUCCGAGUGAUAGCAUUUUCAAAAUUUGAGGUUUGUAGGGCCAGUCGCUGAGGCCGAUGACUGCAGGCAGGUCCCUUUUCCUUUGUUUGGGUCAGUGGCCCCAAGGUGAGCUGUGCUGCUCUGGUUCUUGUUUGGUGUAUACACGAUGGCAUCCUCUGUUCAGGUCUAAGGUUUCAUGUCUUCACCAGUAGAAACAGGAUACCUUCUCAAUUUUUAAAUUAGAACUGCAAGUUUAAUUCUUUAUCAAACCAUCUAAAUAUGAUAACCCCAAUCAGUAAUUAAAAUUCCCCCAGUUUAAAAAUUGUAUUCAUCCCUGAGAGGUCUGAGAAACAAAAUUUAAAACAAAAAUAAACAAUUUAAAACUGAAAGGGAGCUCUCAGAUUCUGUCUGUCUAAGCUUCUCAUUUUAAAGGUGAAAACAAUACAGUUAUCACGUACAGCUCUAAAGGUUCUGUUGUCGGUGUUUUGUAUGUGUAUAAUGUGGGGUGUGUGUGUUGUGUGUGUGUGUGUGUGUGUGUGUGUGUGCGUAUGAACUGAUUCUUGCAAGCUGAUGAGGUCGUUAUGAUUAUUUAUUUAUUUAUUUAUUUAUUUAUUUAUUUAUUUAUUUGAGAAGGAGUCUCUCUCUGUCGCCCAGGCUGGAGUGCAGUGGUGCGAUCUCGGCUCACUGCAAGCUCCACCUCCCGGGUUCACGCCAUUCUCCUGCCUCAGCCCCGAGUAGCUGGAACUACAGGCGCCCCCCACCACACCCGGCUAAUUUUUUGUAUUUUUAGUAGAGACAGGGUUUCACCGUGUUAUCCAAGAUGGUCUCGAUCUCCUGACCUCAUGAUCCGCCCGCCUCGGCCUCCCAAAGUGCUGGGAUUACAGGCGUGAGCCACCGCGCCCGGCCGAGGUCGUUAUGAUUAUUAUUAUCCCUGCCUUACAGGUAAGAAACCUAGGCCUCGAGGGGUUCAUUUACCUUCCGUGGUCAAAGAUCUAGCAGUGGCA